rnacentral:rRNA from 1 species
UACGGAAGGGGCAAGCGUUGUUCGGAAUCAUUGGGCGUAAAGGGCGCGUAGGUGGUUCUGUAUGUCUACCGUGAAAGCGUACGGCUCAACCGUAUUUUGUCGGUAGAAACUGCAGGACUUGAGGCUGGGAGGGGCUGGUGGAAUCCCCUGUGUAGCGGUGAAAUGCGUAGAGAUGGGGGAGAACACUCGUGGCGAAGGCGGCCAGCUAGACCAGUUCUGACACUGAGGCGCGACAGCGUGGGGAGCAAACAGG